CAUCACUUGUGACUAGGAAUCUUUGACCUGGAAACCACACCAUCCAGAUUGUGGAUCUGGCAGCAUUCUAAUCCCUGUUUAAGAGGGUAUAUGAGUUAGUCCAGUCCAGAGGGCCUAAAAUGAAUCCAUGAAACCUCUUAGGGCGCAGGGUAGGGUAGCUAUCAGUGAAGGGCAACAUCUCAGCUGCCAGUAGGUAUGUGUGUGUGUGUGUGUGUGUGUGUGUGUGUGUGUGUCGAGGUAGAGCUGUGUGUGUAUGUAUGUAUGUGUGAUCUAUGGAGGUAGAGCUGUGUGUGUGUGUGUGUUUGAGAGAGAGAGAUCUAUGCAGGUAGAGCUGUGUGUGUGUGUGAGAUCUAUAGAGGUAGAGCUGUGUGUGUGUGAUCUAUGGAGGUAGAGCUGUGUGUGUGUGUGUGUGUGUGUGUGUGAUCUAUGGAGGUAGAGCUGUGUGUGUGUGAGAUCUAUAGAGGUAGAGCUGUGUGUGUGUGUGUGUUGU
ensembl:lncRNA